GCUGGGUGUGUUCCUGUAAUCCUGUAGUUCCUACUACCAGAGAGGCUGGGGCUGUGGAUCCCUUGAGUGUGGGAGUUCUGAGAUGCAGUAUGGCUAAAGCUGAUUGGGUGUCUGCACUGAGUCUUGCACCAAUAUGGUGAGCCCCCUUGGAUUGGAGGGCAGCCAGGCUUCCUAAAGAGGUGCAAAGGGUUCAGGUUGGAAAAACAGAGCAGGUCAAAGCUUCCAUGAUAAUCAGUGUUGGAAUUGGGCCUGUGUGUGGCCCCUGCACUUCCAGCUUGGGUGACAUAGGGAGACCCAAUCUCAA
rnacentral:SRP_RNA from 1 species